rnacentral:rRNA from 1 species
AUGACUUAUCAUAUCAAGUUCCUCCUUUUGUUUCUGCUCUUUAGGAGCUCAUCGUCUUGUUUUGGUUUUCAACUUGAUAUCCAGUGCCUGUUGUCUGUGCAAGAAUCAGUGAUUGAUUCCAAAGGAAUACUCAUGUCCUCAUGGGAUUUUGUUGCCAAUACAACAGAUGGUUACAUAUGCCGAUUCACUGGCGUGGAAUGCUGGCACCCAGACGAGAACAAGGUUUACGCUUUGCGUCUCGGCAACCUAGGGCUUGAAGGCCCAUUUCCUCAAGGUCUUCAAAAUUGCACAAGCUUGAACAUGUUGGACCUGUCAAGCAACAAUUUUUCAGGACCGAUCCCUCCUAACAUCUCAUGGCAGCUGUCGUAUCUGUCAUCUCUGGAUCUUUCCUUCAAUAAAUUUUCAGGAGCUUUGUGGUACACCACUGUACAAGUGUCCUAG